ACAAAGGAGAAGAGGUUAUCACAAGGGAGCAGUGGAAGGCUCUUCUCUGCCAGCAAGAACACUGCCGGCCUCAGGGGACGUCCACCCAGGCAGCCAUCUGCGUCUUGGGUGGCCAGGCAGCCAGGAGUCUGGCCCUGCACAACUGCAUUCUAGAGCUGCGGCCGGGGGCCGAGCCACCGGCCAUCACCGUGGGCCUCCUCCUCUGCGCCAAGCAUCACGCUGGGUGCCGGGUGCCCUGGCGCCUUUCUACAGAGGAGCACCCCAACCUGCGGGCGCUGCAGCUCUGCCGGCUUUCUCUCUGUGCUGUCACUAUGGGUCCUGCACUGCUCUGGCUGCUCCAGGGCGGAAGGCAACUCUGCAGCCUCUGCCUGCCACGUACAGGGCUGGUGGGGCUCACUGAGGCGCCCCGCUCGGCUGCACUGGCCUCAUGCACCUCUGCAUGGAUUUCUUCCAGGCCUGGGUGGCUGAUUAGCCCGCUGUCGCUGUGCCUCACUCCUGGCCCCACCCUGGCUGCUGCCCUCACAGGCCUGCGGCAGUAUCUGGUCAGGAAGGGGGAACCACCCGUGCCCUGUGGCGGGAGGGACCAGGCACAGCGGCCUCCGCCAGGCUGAUCCCUGUCUGUGCUGCCUGGUCUCGGACCUUCACCAGGACUCGCCAGCACCGAGUCCCUGCCCGGGAACUCCCCUACCAACGCUGCCACAUACCGUCCCGGCUUCACCCAAACAGCCCCCAGGACACACUGAAGGGGACGCCGCCAAGCUGUCUGAGGCCAGUGUCUGCUACGUGUGCUUCUUCACACAAAGGAGGUGGCUGACUUGUUACAGGAGGGAGAAGAAACUAAUGAGCCAAGUAAGCUCCGUGCAUGAAUCUGGGAGCUCAGAAAGCAGGCACCGCCCUUGGGGACACAGCCAACACUGCCACCUGCUGCCUCUUCCUCUGCUCCCACUGACCUACCUACAGAAGGCGCCAGCCAGCACAAUGCAGCACCGCCUGCCAGGGUUCCCGGGAGGCCUCACAGGGAGCAGCCCACAGGUGGCCGUGUCGCAGGGGGUCCCCGAUCUCCCGCCAGGCCUCUCGGGUGGCUGAAGAGCAGCUGCUGCCCCUGGCCUUGUACCUCUCACUCAGCAGAACCAACCAAGACCCAAGUUUCCAAGAUCCCUUCCCUGUUACUCUACUGAGUGCAGAAAAUGUUAAGGACAUAAAAACUCCCAGCAGUAUG